UAUCCAUCAGAGAUCACAGAGUAC
rnacentral:siRNA from 1 species